UUCUUCGUCAGUUCACUGAAGCUGUGGCUCAGAAAUCACAACAGGCUUCUUGCACAACCACGUCCGGGUUCUACUCAGUACUGCUCAACUGUGUCUGGUCCGGUUCAACACGGCGUCCGCUGCAGAACCGUCGCGUGAGAGGUGACGGAGAAACGAUCCCGGUGUGUGUUCAUCAGCCGUCGUCUCCUCAGGUAACAACAGACCACUGAACCCAUCUGACUCCAAACCUGGAAUCUCAGUCAUUCCCUGGCACUCGGCCCGGACGGGAGAUGGGACCGACAUUCCUGCCUCAGCGAGAGGAAAGAGCGCGUGAGCAGUGAGGACGGCCGCAAGAGGAAGUUAAUCAGGUGGAAGCUCAGAGUCAGAAACUCAUGCGUCCUGCAGGAAGCCAGCGGCAGAAACGAGCUAAAAAUAACCAGCGGCCUUAAAGAGACCGGCAGAGGGAGGGAGGGAAUCCUGGGAACAUCUGAUCUGAAAGAAAUGAUCCAGAGCUGAAAGGAUUCGAUCUGUUUCUGGAUCACAGGUCUCAGAUGUUCUGGUGUGGUUCUAAAGCUCCCCUACACUCAAACAGUUCCACGUGUUCUGUGGAGUCGGACCCGUUUACAACAGCAGAACAUUCCGUGUGUUCCAGAUGGAAAACCUGCACAGAUCAGAUGUGAUCCGCUCACCGCUCACUGAAGUAAUCUGAUUACUGCAGGAACCAGGUAACUGACGUGUCCAGUCUGAGGACCAGGAACAUGGACUGAACAUUAUACAGACCACCUGGUCCUGGUCCUGGUCCUGGUCUGAUCUGAUCCACUGGACCCUCCUGUAUUUUUCCACUAUGUACUGAAAUAGACAACCUCUUAUUUUUGACCAGAGAAGUUUGACUCUUGAUUUGUUCCAAAGAGGAAAUCCUGCCUCCGACCCCCCGGGGAUCUUUCCAUUUCCUCCUCUGUCGUCAGGACUAAAGACCACAGACCUGAGUCCCGACACCGGGAGUGAAUCCUUAUGGAUUUAAUCCAGAUGCAACUGAAAACAACAGGAUUAUUCUCUCAGACCCUAAACCUCCUCUGAUGAACAGACGGUCGACCACUACAACAGUGACAUCAUCACACGAGGCGUCGGCCUGGAGAUGCUGAGGUGUGUGUGUGUGUGUGUGUGUGUGUGUGUGUGUGUGUCUGUGUGUGAACCUCAAACUAAACUUUAAAUCUAAGUGACAACAGACAGAAUGUUUUAAUAAUUAAAAGUAUUAAAUAGUGUAGAAACACAUGAAGGUGUUUAUGGAAUCAUCAGUUUUCAUAUCGAUCUAAAUUAAUGAUUCUGAUCAUUUCAAAUUCAAUUUAGUUCCACCAGUUAUUAUCUGAGGAGAUGUAUUGGACACACACACACACACACACACACACACACAGACAGACAGACAGACAGACAGACAGACAGACAGACAGACAGACAGACAGACACACACACACACACACACACACGUACAGUAACUUACCAGCCUCUGUGUGUCUGAUGGAUUAUAAGUGAACAUCAAUACAGAUCUGAUCGGUAUAUUAGAUAUAUUAAUAUUUGAAGUGGUUUGAAUAAAUAUCCAUCGAUCCAGGAUUCAAUUUGAACAACUUUCAUAUAGAAAUAAAAACUUUGAUGAUCACUGGA